rnacentral:rRNA from 1 species
GGGUUGUGAGGUUAAGCGACUAAGCGUACACGGUGGAUGCCCUGGCAGUCAGAGGCGAUGAAGGGCGUGCUAAUCUGCGAUAAGCGCCGGUAAGGUGAUAUGAACCGUUAUAACCGGCGAUACCCGAAUGGGGAAACCCAGUGUGACUCGUCACACUAUCAUUAACUGAAUCCAUAGGUUAAUGAGGCGAACCGGGGGAACUGAAACAUCUAAGUACCCCGAGGAAAAGAAAUCAACCGAGAUUCCCCCAGUAGCGGCGAGCGAACGGGGAGGAGCCCAGAGCCUGAAUCAGCAUGUGUGUUAGUGGAAGCGUCUGGAAAGGCGCGCGAUACAGGGUGACAGCCCCGUACACAAAAGCGCAUGUGCUGUGAGCUCGAUGAGUAGGGCGGGACACGUGGUAUCCUGUCUGAAUAUGGGGGGACCAUCCUCCAAGGCUAAAUACUCCUGACUGACCGAUAGUGAACCAGUACCGUGAGGGAAAGGCGAAAAGAACCCCGGCGAGGGGAGUGAAAAAGAACCUGAAACCGUGUACGUACAAGCAGUGGGAGCCCCACCACUAAGCCAGUGGUGAACUCCACAUACGCAUCCUUUGCUGAGGAUACGGUUAACGGAGCGAAAGCGACGUUCAACCGCAAAAGAAGCAGAGGGGGCUUAGUGGUGGGGUGACUGCGUACCUUUUGUAUAAUGGGUCAGCGACUUAUAUUCUGUAGCAAGGUUAACCGAAUAGGGGAGCCGGAGGGAAACCGAGUCUUAAUUGGGCGUUAAGUUGCAGGGUAUAGACCCGAAACCCGGUGAUCUAGCCAUGGGCAGGUUGAAGGUUGGGUAACACUAACUGGAGGACCGAACCGACUAAUGUUGAAAAAUUAGCGGAUGACCUGUGGCUGGGGGUGAAAGGCCAAUCAAACCGGGAGAUAGCUGGUUCUCCCCGAAAGCUAUUUAGGUAGCGCCUCGUGAAUUCAUCUCCGGGGGUAGAGCACUGUUUCGGCUAGGGGGCCAUCCCGGCUUACCAACCCGAUGCAAACUGCGAAUACCGGAGAAUGUUAUCACGGGAGACACACGGCGGGUGCUAACGUCCGUCGUGAAGAGGGAAACAACCCAGACCGCCAGCUAAGGUCCCAAAGUCAUGGUUAAGUGGGAAACGAUGUGGGAAGGCCCAGACAGCCAGGAUGUUGGCUUAGAAGCAGCCAUCAUUUAAAGAAAGCGUAAUAGCUCACUGGUCGAGUCGGCCUGCGCGGAAGAUGUAACGGGGCUAAACCAUGCACCGAAGCUGCGGCAGCGACGCUUAUGCGUUGUUGGGUAGGGGAGCGUUCUGUAAGCCUGUGAAGGUGGCCUGUGAGGGUUGCUGGAGGUAUCAGAAGUGCGAAUGCUGACAUAAGUAACGAUAAAGCGGGUGAAAAGCCCGCUCGCCGGAAGACCAAGGGUUCCUGUCCAACGUUAAUCGGGGCAGGGUGAGUCGACCCCUAAGGCGAGGCCGAAAGGCGUAGUCGAUGGGAAACGGGUUAAUAUUCCCGUACUUGGUGUUACUGCGAAGGGGGGACGGAGAAGGCUAUGUUGGCCGGGCGACGGUUGUCCCGGUUUAAGCGUGUAGGUGUGUGUUCCAGGUAAAUCCGGUUCACUUUAACACUGAGGCGUGACGACGAGGCACUACGGUGCUGAAGCAACAAAUGCCCUGCUUCCAGGAAAAGCCUCUAAGCAUCAGGUAACACGAAAUCGUACCCCAAACCGACACAGGUGGUCAGGUAGAGAAUACCAAGGCGCUUGAGAGAACUCGGGUGAAGGAACUAGGCAAAAUGGUGCCGUAACUUCGGGAGAAGGCACGCUGACACGUAGGUGAAGUGAUUUACUCACGGAGCUGAAGUCAGUCGAAGAUACCAGCUGGCUGCAACUGUUUAUUAAAAACACAGCACUGUGCAAACACGAAAGUGGACGUAUACGGUGUGACGCCUGCCCGGUGCCGGAAGGUUAAUUGAUGGGGUCAGCGCAAGCGAAGCUCCUGAUCGAAGCCCCGGUAAACGGCGGCCGUAACUAUAACGGUCCUAAGGUAGCGAAAUUCCUUGUCGGGUAAGUUCCGACCUGCACGAAUGGCGUAAUGAUGGCCAGGCUGUCUCCACCCGAGACUCAGUGAAAUUGAACUCGCUGUGAAGAUGCAGUGUACCCGCGGCAAGACGGAAAGACCCCGUGAACCUUUACUAUAGCUUGACACUGAACAUUGAGCCUUGAUGUGUAGGAUAGGUGGGAGGCUUUGAAGUGUGGACGCCAGUCUGCAUGGAGCCGACCUUGAAAUACCACCCUUUGAUGUUUGAUGUUCUAACGUGGACCCGUUACCCGGGUUGCGGACAGUGUCUGGUGGGUAGUUUGACUGGGGCGGUCUCCUCCUAAAGAGUAACGGAGGAGCACGAAGGUUGGCUAAUCCUGGUCGGACAUCAGGAGGUUAGUGCAAUGGCAUAAGCCAGCUUGACUGCGAGCGUGACGGCGCGAGCAGGUGCGAAAGCAGGUCAUAGUGAUCCGGUGGUUCUGAAUGGAAGGGCCAUCGCUCAACGGAUAAAAGGUACUCCGGGGAUAACAGGCUGAUACCGCCCAAGAGUUCAUAUCGACGGCGGUGUUUGGCACCUCGAUGUCGGCUCAUCACAUCCUGGGGCUGAAGUAGGUCCCAAGGGUAUGGCUGUUCGCCAUUUAAAGUGGUACGCGAGCUGGGUUUAGAACGUCGUGAGACAGUUCGGUCCCUAUCUGCCGUGGGCGCUGGAGAACUGAGGGGGGCUGCUCCUAGUACGAGAGGACCGGAGUGGACGCAUCACUGGUGUUCGGGUUGUCAUGCCAAUGGCACUGCCCGGUAGCUAAAUGCGGAAGAGAUAAGUGCUGAAAGCAUCUAAGCACGAAACUUGCCCCGAGAUGAGUUCUCCCUGAGACUUUAGGUCUCCUGAAGGAACGUUGAAGACGACGACGUUGAUAGGCCGGGUGUGUAAGCGCAGCGAUGCGUUGAGCUAACCGGUACUAAUGAACCGUGAGGCUUAACCUUACAACGCCGAAG